rnacentral:rRNA from 1 species
UACGUAGGGGGCAAGCGUUGUCCGGAUUUAUUGGGCGUAAAGAGCGUGUAGGCGGCCUGAAAGGUCAGCUGUGAAAACUCGAGGCUCAACCUCGAGACGUCGGUUGAAACCAUCUGGCUAGAGUCCGGAAGAGGAGAGUGGAAGUUCCCGGUGUAGCGGUGAAAUGACGCAGAUAUCGGGAAGAACACCCGUGGCGAAGGCGGCUCUCUGGGACGGUACUGGACGC